ACAGGUCGGGAAACAGUCUCAGCAAGGAUCUGUUUCUGCAAGGACACUCUGAUAACUUCUGCACAGAAACCUCAACGUCUUAGAGUCUGUUUCCCGGUAAAUCCACCCUGUGACAGCUGAUCCUGGAUGUGGUCCUAAGGAACUGUCUCUAAAAUGGAAUUUUGUUUCUGGACCUGGCUGAAUGUAAUAAAGAUGCCCUUGCUGGCUGUAGGGGGACCCAGGCAUGCAGUUCCAGAGUGAUUGUUAAAGCUUGUACAGAUGAUGCAGAGGAUCUUGCCUCACAAGAAAACCAUGCCCUUCUCAGGAGGCUUCUCUGUCUCCUCCUCUCUUGGCCAUUAGGCCCCUAACUAGGGUCAAGUCACAACGCAACCUGGCCGAGAAGUGCUGGGCCUGCUAAGGAAGAAAGGGGCUAUACCCUGCAGUAGUUGUAAGACUUGUCAGCACGUGACAUCAAGAAGUGGAAGUGUCAGGCCGCCU